AUCCAAGGAAUGCCCUAAACACGCAGUGGGGAAGAGACCUGCCGUAUCCUCAUAAGGCUCUGAGUUCAAACCUUAGCCUCGGCAUGGUGCUCUACCCAACUUUUUCUUUUUUUAGUACUUGGAAAACAUUAACAUCUAUAAUAAAUCCAAAAAUCUCAUCCAUUAUUCUCUAAGAGACCAACAUACAAAAUUGACGAAACACAAAGUCACGGUCUCACAACAUGUAAUUAAACGGGCUACACGUGUUUCGCUCUAGUUAGAGCAUCAUCAGGCCUUUAGAAGCCAUCCACACACUUAUGCUGUAACUGAUGAUGCUCUAACUAGAGCGAAACACGUGUAGCCCGUUUAAUUACAUGUUGUGAGACCGUGACUUUGUGUUUUUCUUUGUUUUUCGUCAAUCUAUAGUAAAUACAGAGAGAAAAGGAAAGGUCUUAUUAUAUAUUAUAAUCAAAAAUAAAUUUCAUUGAAAUAUUACUAACUUAUUUCUGGGUAUCAUGCUUCAGAGAACCAUGAUGUGUUACAAUACGCUCCGCUCUUUAAUUUUAGUUUAGUAGAAAAUAUUCUCAAAACCUACAUAUAUCAAAAUUAUGUCAGGGUUCUAAAAUGAAUCGGUAAUAAAAUCGUAAACCAGAUCAACAUUGGAAAUAAUUUAAAAAAUUUGCUUUGGUCCGAUUGAAAAAAGUACUAUACUACCAAAUAGUUACAUCUAUUCUGUAGCAAUAAAAGUUAUAAAAUUCUGUCUAUUAUUAAUUUUAAUAUUAUAAAGUGUAUCGUUUAACUCUUAGCCAUUAUUUAUAAUUUAAUUGUUAAUUAUGCCUAAAAAAACGAAUUAACAAUUUUGGUAUUGUUUGGAAGGUAAACAGCUUAAUUCCUUUAUGUAAAGCCACCUUAACAUGUUUUUGCAUAAUUCUGACUCACGUUGGUUGCUAUCGGGCUUAAGCCAUAAAAAUCGAAGAAAAAAAGAAGAAGACGAAGAGACUUUCACUUGUCAUUUCAAUGUCACUUUCCGGCCCACAAGCAUAAACGCCACCGGCAACGGAAGUUCCCAAAAUCCAAACAAAUGUUGGAAGAUAUUUUUAAGUCUCCGCAUCUUUCUUACUUUCCUAUAUGAAAAUAAAAUGUAAGUAUCACAAUUACACACAUACAAGUUUUUUUUUUUAAUUCAGUUUCAUAAUUACCAAUUUUUAGUGAAUAAUCCUGAAAUUUAUGAAAAUACAUACAUUUUAAGGUUAUGUCAUAAUGUUUUGAUUGUUAUAUUUGAUUUUGUUUUUGUUAUUUUAGUGGACUACACCAACAAAGGUUAUGUGUUUUGCACCAGAUUGAAAGCAUCAUAGCGAAAAACGGACCUGUCAUAUCUUUAAAUUUUCAAAAGAGCCCCUGGAAAAAGAAAAAUGAAUAUCUUUGCCAAGGAAUAGGUACUAAGGCAAAUGGAUAAAAAACCUUCAGUCCAUGCAUUGGUAUGUAAUUGUUGACAAAAAUACAAUGAAUGGCCUCACUACUUUUCCACAUGCAAAGAGGUUAACCAAGGAGAAAUUAAAGAAAUUGUCAAAAACCUAGGUAAAUACAGAAUUGCUUAGUACAAACAUAUCUAUACCCAGUACAAGUUCGUCCACUUCUUUGAAGCAUGGUACUUCAAACAGAAACACUGUCAACAAUUUUGUAGAAGGUGAGCCGGUGUCAAAUUCCAGUAAGGGACAUGAUUUCAAUUUUGCACCAACAGCAGAGCUAAAAUUCAUUUUGCCGCAAAAAACUGGAGGAUGUGAAAGAAAAAAGUGCAGAAGUUAAAAUUAAGUUUUUCAUAUGAGCACAUAAAAAAUAAUCAUGACAAAGUUCAGUUGUAUACAGGUUUGACAUGUAAUAAAUAUUUUUGUAAUCUUAUUAAGUUAAUUAGUUUUAUAUAUUAUUUAAAUAAUAAUUGAAUACUUCACAUAGAAUAUGCAGAAAUUAUAUGUACAUAUAUAAAUUUUUUUAUUAAGAUAAGGACAACAUGUAUUAAAGCAUAACACAUAAUAUAAACACACACGUAAUAUCUUCAUUAAAAAUUAUGAUUGUAUGUUAUGUAGCAUUAGAGCCUAAAAACAUUAAGGAGAAUAAAGGUCGUUAUUGGCAAA